rnacentral:rRNA from 1 species
CAGUAGCCGCGGGAACACGUAGGGUGCGAGCGUUAAUCGGAAUUACUGGGCGUAAAGCGUGUGCAGGCGGUUAUAUAAGACAGAUGUGAAAUCCCCGGGCUCAACCUGGGACCUGCAUUUGUGACUGUAUAGCUAGAGUACGGUAGAGGGGGAUGGAAUUCCGCGUGUAGCAGUGAAAUGCGUAGAUAUGCGGAGGAACACCGAUGGCGAAGGCAAUCCCCUGGACCUGUACUGACGCUCAUGCACGAAAGCGUGGGGAGCAAACAGGAUUAGAUACCCCAGUAGUCCCUGUCUCUUAUAC